UGGGGAAUUUUCCGCAAUGGGCGAAAGCCUGACGGAGCAAUACCGCGUGAGGGAGGAAUGCCUUUGGGUUGUAAACCUCUUUUCUCAGGGAAGAAGAUCUGACGGUACCUGAGGAAUAAGUAUCGGCUAACUCCGUGCCAGCAGCCGCGGUAAUACGGAGGAUGCAAGCGUUAUCCGGAAUCAUUGGGCGUAAAGCGUCCGCAGGUGGUUUCCAAAGUCUGCUGUUAAAGACUGGAGCUCAACUCCGGAACGGCGGUGUAAACUUGGAAACUGGAGUUCGGUAGGGGUAGCAGGAAUUCCCAGUGUAGCGGUGAAAUGCGUAGAUAUUGGGAAGAACAUCGGUGGCGAAGGCGUGCUACUGGACCGUAACUGACACUCAGGGACGAAAGCUAUGGGAGCGAAAGGGAUUAGAUACCCCUGUAGUCCUAGCUGUAAACGAUGGAAACUAGGUGUGGCUUGA
rnacentral:rRNA from 1 species